GGAGAGAGGCAAUGGACGCACCCCUCGCCAACCGGGUCAGGUUCGGAAGAAAGCAGCCCUGACGAGUUUGCCGGUGCGGGUUGUUGCUCUCUCUC
rnacentral:SRP_RNA from 1 species